UCCAGACUCCUACGGGAGGCAGCAGUGGGGGAUAUUGCACAAUGGGGGGAACCCUGAUGCAGCGACGCCGCGUGGGUGAAGGAGCGUUUCGGCGCGUAAAGCCCUCUCGGCAGGGAAGAAGGAGGACGGUACCUGACUAAGAAGCCCCGGCUAACUACGUGCCAGCAGCCGCGGUAAUACGUAGGGGGCAAGCGUUAUCCGGAUUUACUGGGUGUAAAGGGGGCGCAGACGGCAGCGCAAGCCAGGAGUGAAAGCCCGGGGCCCAACCCCGGGACUGCUCUUGGAACUGCGCGGCUGGAGUGCAGGAGGGGCAGGCGGAAUUCCUGGUGUAGCGGUGAAAUGCGUAGAUAUCAGGAGGAACACCGGUGGCGAAGGCGGCCUGCUGGACUGCGACUGACGUUGAGGCCCGAAGGCGUGGGGAGCAAACAGGAUUAGAUACCCGCGUAU
rnacentral:rRNA from 1 species